AACGAACGCUGGCGGCAUGCCUAACACAUGCAAGUCGAACGAGACCUUCGGGUCUAGUGGCGCACGGGUGCGUAACGCGUGGGAACCUGCCUUUAGGUUCGGAAUAACUCAGAGAAAUUUGAGCUAAUACCGGAUAAUGUCUUCGGACCAAAGAUUUAUCGCCUUUAGAUGGGCCCGCGUAAGAUUAGCUAGUUGGUGGGUAAAGGCCUACCAAGGCGACGAUCUUUAGCUGGUCUGAGAGGAUGAUCAGCCACACUGGGACUGAGACACGGCCCAGACUCCUACGGGAGGCAGCAGUGGGGAAUAUUGGACAAUGGGCGAAAGCCUGAUCCAGCAAUGCCGCGUGAGUGAUGAAGGCCUUAGGGUUGUAAAAGCUCUUUUACCCGGGAUGAUAAUGACAGUACCGGGAGAAUAAGCCCCGGCUAACUCCGUGCCAGCAG
rnacentral:rRNA from 1 species